AACGGGUGAGUAAUGCGUGACCAACCUGCCCCAUGCUCCAGAAUAGCUCUUGGAAACGGGUGGUAAUGCUGGAUGCUCCAACUUGACGCAUGUCUUGUUGGGAAAGUGUUUAGUGGCAUGGGAUGGGGUCGCGUCCUAUCAGCUUGUAGGCGGGGUAAUGGCCCACCUAGGCUUCGACGGGUAGCCGGCCUGAGAGGGCGGACGGCCACAUUGGAACUGAGAUACGGCCCAGACUCCUACGGGAGGCAGCAGCC
rnacentral:rRNA from 1 species